UAUUAUACUUGUGAAUCUAGGAUUGUGAUUUCAGCAAACCUCAUCAAAGAAACCAUCAUCUACAACCAUUUCUGAAAUUUAAAAGCAGCAAAACAUCUGUUCCCCCAAGCAACUUAUCUGACACAGUGAGAAGACGGCCAUCUACAAGCCACAGAGUCCUUACUGGGAAAUGAGCAGGACCAGCACCUUGAUGGGAGGACUUCCUGUCCUCUAGAACUUUGAGAAAUAAAUCUCUGUUGGCUAAGCCACCCAA